CGCUAGCGAUAGGCCUAACACAUGCAAGUCGAGGGGCAGCAUAGGGUAGCAAUACUUUGAUGGCGACCGGCGCACGGGUGAGUAACGCGUAUGCAACCUACCUAUAACAGGGGAAUAAGCCCGGAGAAAUUCGGACUAAUACCGCAUAAAACAGGGGCUCCGCAUGGUGAUAUUUGUUAAAGAUUUAUCGGUUAUAGAUGGGCAUGCGUUCCAUUAGCCAGUUGGUGAGGUAACGGCUCACCAAAGCAACGAUGGAUAGGGGUUCUGAGAGGUUUGUCCCCCACACUGGAACUGAGACACGGACCAGACUCCUACGGGAGGCAGCAGUGAGGAAUAUUGGUCAAUGGGCGAGAGCCUGAACCAGCCAAAUCGCGUGAAGGAAGACUGCCUUAUGGGUUGUAAACUUCUUUUAUACAGGAAUAAAAAGAUUACGUGUAACUUAUUGCAAGUACAGUACGAAUAAGCAUCGGCUAACUCCGUGCCAGCAGCCGCGGUAAUACGGAGGAUGCGAGCGUUAUCCGGAUUUAUUGGGUUUAAAGGGUGCGCAGGCGGGAACUUAAGUCAGCGGUGAAAUCUCGACGCUUAACGUCGAAACUGCCGUUGAAACUGGGUUUCUUGAGUAUAGAUGAAGUAGGCGGAAUUCGUUGUGUAGCGGUGACAUGCUUAGAUAUAACGAGGAACUCCGAUUGCGUAGGCAGCUUACUAAGCUAUAACUGACGCUGAAGCACGAAAGCGUGGGGAUCAAACAGGAUUAGAUACCCUGGUAGUCCACGCCGUAAACGAUGAUUACUAGUUGUAUGCGAUAUACCGUAUGUGACUAAGCGAAAGCGAUAAGUAAUCCACCUGGGGAGUACGCCGGCAACGGUGAAACUCAAAGGAAUUGACGGGGG
rnacentral:rRNA from 1 species